rnacentral:tRNA from 1 species
GCUUCUGUGGUGGAAUGGUAGACACUUGUGACUUAAAAUCACAUGCGAAUUCUCGCUUACCGGUUCAAGUCCGGUCAGAAGUA